rnacentral:rRNA from 1 species
GACGAACGCUGGCGGCGUGCUUAACACAUGCAAGUCGAACGGUGAAGCGCCUUCCUUUUUGGUGGGUGUGGAUGAGUGGCGAACGGGUGAGUAACACGUGAGUAACCUGCCCCCUUCUUCUGGAUAACCGCAUGAAAGUGUGGCUAAUACGGGAUAUUCUGGGUCUGUCGCAUGAUGGGUCUGGGAAAGAUAUUGUUUCGGUGGGGGAUGGGCUCGCGGCCUAUCAGCUUGUUGGUGGGGUGAUGGCCUACCAAGGCGGUGACGGGUAGCCGGCCUGAGAGGGUGGGCGGUCACACUGGGGCUGAGACACGGCCCAGACUCCUACGGGAGGCAGCAGUGAGGAAUAUUGCACAAUGGGCGCAAGCCUGAUGCAGCGACGCCGCGUGAGGGAUGGAGGCCGUCGGGUUGUGAACCUCUUUCGCCAGUGAAGCAGGCCUGCCUCGUUUGUGGGUGGGUUGACGGUAGCUGGAUAAGAAGCGCCGGCUAACUACGUG